rnacentral:rRNA from 1 species
GACGAACGCUGGCGGCGUGCUUAACACAUGCAAGUCGAACGAUGAAGCCGGAGCUUGCUCUGGUGAAUUAGUGGCGAACGGGUGAGUAGCACGUGAGUAACCUGCCCUUGACUCUGGGAUAACUGCGGGAAACUGUAGCUAAUACCGGAUACGACCCUCGGAGGCAUCUCCUGGGGGUGGAAAGAAUUUCGGUCAAGGAUGGACUCGCGGCCUAUCAGCUAGUUGGUGAGGUAAAGGCUCACCAAGGCGACGACGGGUAGCCGGCCUGAGAGGGGGACCGGCCACACUGGGACUGAGACACGGCCCAGACUCCUACGGGAGGCAGCAGUGGGGAAUAUUGCACAAUGGGCGCAAGCCUGAUGCAGCAACGCCGCGUGAGGGAUGACGGCCUUCGGGUUGUAAACCUCUUUUAGCAGGGAAGAAGCGAAAGUGACGGUACCUGCAGAAAAAGCACCGGCUAACUACGUGCCAGCCGCCGCGGUAA